rnacentral:rRNA from 1 species
UACGAAGGGGCUAGCGUUGCUCGGAAUCACUGGGCGUAAAGGGUGCGUAGGCGGGUCUUUAAGUCAGAGGUGAAAUCCUGGAGCUCAACUCCAGAACUGCCUUUGAUACUGAGGAUCUUGAGUUCGGGAGAGGUGAGUGGAACUGCGAGUGUAGAGGUGAAAUUCGUAGAUAUUCGCAAGAACACCAGUGGCGAAGGCGGCUCACUGGCCCGGAACUGACGCUGAGGUGCGAAAGCGUGGGGAGCAAACAGGG